CACAGACUGACCAAGUCCCUCCAGGAUUGUGUAAACCCUGACAUAUGCAAUGGUUUAAUGUAAAAAAGGUGAGAGGUCACAUACUUGCCCACUGAUGGACUUUGGUGAGGGACGUCUGCCUUGAAGCCCAGCCCCUAUUAUGAUGCCAAAACUCAAGGGAAGAGGACAUCAUCUCUUUCCAAUUAAUACAUUUUCUGCAGGCAUCUGAAUAAAAUAGCCAAGAUUUCCCCUUCAAAGCUCUCUGUCUUAAGUUUAAAGAAGUGAGAGCCCAUAAAAGAUGGUCCUAAUUAAGCUUAAAAUUUUUGGCAAGUGUUGGAUUACUUAAAGGCCUGACAUAAACAUCUUGGAAAUUAAGAUGUUUCUCUAUUACAACAAUCUCCUCUUGACAUCUGCACCACAGCCAGGGCUGCUCAGGUGUCCUGAGAAAUGUACUCACUCCACAGGCUGGUCAUCUUUUGAAGGUGCUGAAUCAAGUGAAUGAGAGACCACAAGUCUUUUGGUCUUCAUGAAGAUAAAACCAGGGGCCAGCUUGCUCUGGUUCUGUGAAUAAAUUGGUGCCACUGACCAGAGACCUUACAAAAGAGUCAGUGCACACUUGGAUGCCAGACAGCACCAUAACCCAGAGAACCCAAGGCCAAACUGCUUUAGCUCAGCAUGGAGAAUAUGCAUCUCAGAUGUAUUUUCAAGGUGUGUCGGAGAAAGGCCUCUGUUGUCUCACUGCAUGGAGCAAAUCUCUGGCCCACAUGGACUGUCUCUCCUUCUCAGACUACAGAAUCUCCACUUAGGAACAUGAAUUUUGGACAAGUUCUUCAGCUUCUGCCAACAGCUAAAGACACUCGCAUGAAGCAGGACUACUCAGUGGUGUCUCUAUGGGGCAGGACCAUGGGGAAUUUGUCAGGAAAUGCAAAUCAGCAAUGUUUAGUUUAAAAUUGACUUUAAAACUUUGUGAGCAAUUAGACAUUAUGUAAAGAGUAAUACAUGUGGAUUUUUGCCAACCACUUGCAGUAGCUUUCCAGUAAUGGCAAAACAAUCCUUUCUCUAAUUCACAUCAACUUAAAAAGAUGAUAAGUUUUUAAAUUUUGAGACAAUUUUUAUGUUGUUUUUACUGUGGAAUCACUUCUUAAUUUAAUUACAC
rnacentral:lncRNA from 1 species